GAUGAACGCUGGCGGCGUGCCUAAUACAUGCCAGUCGAGCGAACAGAUAAGGAGCUUGCUCCUUUGACGUUAGCGGCGGACGGGUGAGUAACACGUGGAUAACCUACCUAUAAGACUGGGAUAACUUCGGGAAACCGGAGCUAAUACCGGAUAACAUAUUGAACCGCAUGGUUCAAUAGUGAAAGGCGGCUUUGCUGUCACUUAUAGAUGGAUCCGCGCCGUAUUAGCUAGUUGGUAAGGUAACGGCUUACCAAGGCAACGAUACGUAGCCGACCUGAGAGGGUGAUCGGCCACACUGGAACUGAGACACGGUCCAGACUCCUACGGGAGGCAGCAGUAGGGAAUCUUCCGCAAUGGGCGAAAGCCUGACGGAGCAACGCCGCGUGAGUGAUGAAGGUCUUCGGAUCGUAAAACUCUGUUAUCAGGGAAGAACAAAUGUGUAAGUAACUGUGCACAUCUUGACGGUACCUGAUCAGAAAGCCACGGCUAACUACGUGC
rnacentral:rRNA from 1 species